AUUGAACGCUGGCGGCAGGCUUAACACAUGCAAGUCGAGCGAGCGGCGGACGGGUGAGUAAUGUCUGGGAAACUGCCUGAUGGAGGGGGAUAACUACUGGAAACGGUAGCUAAUACCGCAUACCAUCAGAUGUGCCCAGUUGGGAUUAGCUAGUAGGGGGGGUAAUGGCUCACCUAGGCGACGAUCCCUAGCUGGUCUGAGAGGAUGACCAGCGACACGGGAACGGGGACACGGGCAAGGCGCCUACGGGAGGGAGCAGAGGGUAAGAUUGCACAAUGGGCGCAAGCCUGAUGCAGCCAUGCCGCGUGCGUGAAGAAGGCCUUCGGGUUGUAAAGCACUUUCAGCGGGGAGGCGGUACUCGCAGAAGAAGCACCGGCUAACUCCGUGCCAGCAGCCGCGGUAAUAC
rnacentral:rRNA from 1 species